rnacentral:lncRNA from 1 species
UGGAAUCACAGUGCUGUAUUUGGGGGGCCUGUUUCUCCAUUCUGGCCCAUGCAGCAUGUAGGGCAGGCUUUGAGAACUCAACCUGAAAACCCAUUUCUGUGGUUUUUACAUGUCUCCUCAAUAAGUCUCUAGGUUUAAUAUAAAUAACUACCUGCAUAAUAGUCAUUUCUUCUUCUUCUUUUGCUAAAAGAACAUCUAUUUGGAGAUGGACAAAAUGUCCUGUACCAGAGGAUGAAUCAUGAUGUCUGGUGGAAGAGAGAGAUAAAGAAUCUUCUGUUUCUUGGCUUCCUACCUUCCCUGCAGCUGUGAAUGGCCGUGGGGCCCAGGCACAAACUCCAGCCUUCCCUUCCUGCUUUGCUCUGGGGGCUUCCAGCAGCUACCUCAGGAAGAACACCAAGAAAACUGCAGAGACAGAGCCAGAAGCCCAACCGUGCUGACCCACCUCCACCUCAAUUUUA